rnacentral:rRNA from 1 species
AUUGAACGCUGGCGGCAUGCCUUACACAUGCAAGUCGAACGGAUUCAAGAGGCUUGCUUCUCGAGUUAGUGGCGAACGGGUGAGUAAAGCAUCGGAACGUACCCAGUUGUGGGGGAUAACGUAGCGAAAGUUACGCUAAUACCGCAUACGCACUGAGGUGGAAAGCGGGGGACCGAAAGGCCUCGCGCAAUUGGAGCGGCCGAUGUCGGAUUAGCUAGUUGGUGAGGUAAAGGCUCACCAAGGCGACGAUCCGUAGCUGGUCUGAGAGGACGACCAGCCACACUGGAACUGAGACACGGUCCAGACUCCUACGGGAGGCAGCAGUGGGGAAUUUUGGACAAUGGGCGAAAGCCUGAUCCAGCCAUGCCGCGUGAGUGAAGAAGGCCUUCGGGUUGUAAAGCUCUUUCAGACGGAAAGAAAUCUUUCGGGUGAAUAUCCCGGAAGGAUGACGGUACCGUAAGAAGAAGCACCGGCUAACUACGUGCCAGCAGCCGCCGUAA